rnacentral:rRNA from 1 species
GAUGAACGCUGGCGGCGUGCCUAAUACAUGCCAGUCGAGCGAACGGACGAGAAGCUUGCCUCUCUGAUGUUAGCGGCGGACGGGUGAGUAACACGCGGAUAACCUACCUAUAAGACUGGGAUAACUUCGGGAAACCGGAGCUAAUACCGGAUAAUAUUUUGAACCGCAUGGUUCAAAAGUGAAAGACGGUCUUGCUGUCACUUAUAGAUGGAUCCGCGCUGCAUUAGCUAGUUGGUAAGGUAACGGCUUACCAAGGCAACGAUGCAUAGCCGACCUGAGAGGGUGAUCGGCCACACUGGAACUGAGACACGGUCCAGACUCCUACGGGAGGCAGCAGUAGGGAAUCUUCCGCAAUGGGCGAAAGCCUGACGGAGCAACGCCGCGUGAGUGAUGAAGGUCUUCGGAUCGUAAAACUCUGUUAUUAGGGAAGAACAUAUGUGUAAGUAACUGUGCACAUCUUGACGGUACCUAAUCAGAAAGCCACGGCUAACUACGUG